GGAAAAGAAACCAACAGGGAUUGCCUCAGUAGCGGCGAGUGAAGCGGCAAGAGCUCAGAUUUGAAAUCUCACCUAGUGUGCGAGUUGUAAAUUGCAGGUUGGAGUCUCGGGUUAGACGUGUGUGCAAGUCCCUUGGAACAGGGUGCCACUGAGGGUGAGAGCCCCGUAUCGUGCAUGUCGACACCUGUGAGGCCCUUCUGACGAGUCGAGUUGUUUGGGAAUGCAGCUCUAAGUGGGUGGUAAAUUCCAUCUAAGGCUAAAUAUUGGCGAGAGACCGAUAGCGAACAAGUACUGUGAAGGAAAGAUGAAAAGCACUUUGAAAAGAGAGUGAAACAGCACGUGAAAUUGUUGAAAGGGAAGGGUAUUGGGCUCGACAUGGGAUUUACGCAUCGUUGCCUCUCGUGGGCGGCGCUCUGGGUUUUUCCUGGGCCAGCAUCGGUUUUCGUUGCAGGAUAAGGACAAUUGGAAUGUGGCUCCUCGGAGUGUUAUAGCCUUUUGUAGAUGCUGCGUAUGGGGACCGAGGGCUGCGGCGGACUCGUUUCGUCUCGGAUGCUGGCACAACGGCGCAAUACCGCCCGUCUUGAAACAUG
rnacentral:rRNA from 1 species